GGGGAUGGAGCGCAACUGGUAGAGCACUUGCCUCGAAUGCAGGAAGCCCUGGGUUUGUUCCCAGCACUACCU
rnacentral:tRNA from 1 species